rnacentral:rRNA from 1 species
UACGGAGGGUGCAAGCGUUGUCCGGAAUCACUGGGCGUAAAGGGCGCGUAGGCGGUCCCUUAAGCGUGUGGUGAAAGCUCAGGGCUCAACUCUGAGUCGGCCAUGCGAACUGGGGGACUCGAGCACUGUAGAGGCAGGUGGAAUUCCGGGAGUAGCGGUGGAAUGCGUAGAGAUCCGGAAGAACACCGGUGGCGAAGGCGGCCUGCUGGGCAGUAGCUGACGCUGAGGCGCGACAGCGUGGGGAGCAAACAGG